UCCUACGGGGAGCAGCAGUAGGGAAUAUUGGUCAAUGGAUGCAAGUCUGAACCAGCCAUGCCGCGUGCAGGAAGAAGGCCUUCUGGGUUGUAAACUGCUUUUACCGGGGGAUAAAAUUCCCAUGCGUGGGACAUUGAAGGUACCCGGUGAAUAAGCCACGGCUAACUACGUGCCAGCAGCCGCGGUAAUACGUAGGUGGCAAGCGUUGUCCGGAUUUAUUGGGUUUAAAGGGUGCGUAGGCGGCCUUGUAAGUCAGUGCUGAAAUAUCCCGGCUUAACCGGGAGGGUGGCAUUGAUACUGCAGGGCUUGAGUGAAGUCGAGGUAGGCGGAAUUGACGGUGUAGCGGUGAAAUGCUUAGAUAUCGUCAAGAACACCGAUAGUGAAGACAGUUUACUAGACUUCAACUGACGCUGAGGCACGAAAGUGUGGGGAUCAAACAGGAUUAGAUACCCUGGUAGUCCACACUGUAAACGUUGAUUACUCGAUGUGUGCGAUAUACAGUCCGCGUCUUCGCGCAAGAGAUAAGUGAGACACCUGAUACUGUUUUUAGGGU
rnacentral:rRNA from 1 species